rnacentral:rRNA from 1 species
AGGAAUAUUGGUCAAUGGGCGGAAGCCUGAACCAGCCAUGCCGCGUGGAGGAUGACUGCCCUCUGGGUUGUAAACUCCUUUUACGGGGGACGAAAAAAGGGAAUUCUUUCCCGUCUGACGGUACCCCGUGAAUAAGCACCGGCUAACUCCGUGCCAGCAGCCGCGGUAAUACGGAGGGUGCAAGCGUUAUCCGGAUUCACUGGGUUUAAAGGGAGCGUAGGCCGGCAUGUAAGUCAGUGGUGAAAUCCUGGGGCUCAACCCCGGAACUGCCAUUAAUACUAUGUGCCUUGGAUCCUGUCGAGGUUUGCGGAAUAUGUCAUGUAGCGGUGAAAUGCUUAGAUAUGACAUAGAACACCGAUUGCGAAGGCAGCAGGCUAGACAGGCAUCGACGCUGAGGCUCGAAAGCGUGGGGAUCGAAC